UACGUAGGGGGCAAGCGUUGUCCGGAAUCAUUGGGCGUAAAGAGCGUGUAGGCGGCCCGUUAAGUCCGCUGUGAAAGUCCAGGGCUCAACCCUGGGAUGCCGGUGGAUACUGUCGGGCUCGAGUCCGGAAGAGGAGUGUGGAAUUCCUGGUGUAGCGGUGAAAUGCGCAGAUAUCAGGAGGAACACCAAUGGCGAAGGCAGCACUCUGGGACGUGACUGACGCUGAGACGCGAAAGCGUGGGGAGCAAACAGG
rnacentral:rRNA from 1 species